AAUAUAGUUAGGAGAUUUUCAGUAGGUGGGCCACAUUGUUUAAAACUUUUGGCCUAAAAAUCAGGUUGUUUAACUCCUAGGUAGGCCAUAAUAUGCCAAAAAAAAGAAGAAGAAAAGAAUUGGCAUAAAAAAGAAGUCAUCUGUGGGUAAAGUGUAAUGAGUACUUUGUUUCUUGUGCCACAAAAAUCCCGCGGAUAAAGUGUAAUGAGUACUUUGUGAAACUACACAUCCAAACAGCCCAACUGUCUUUUUAGUGGAAAACAAUUUCCAAGCACGCAUGGAUUUUGUGUAUCCAAAGAUGCCUUAAAAAGCAAAACCCAACAUCAUUUACCAUUUUUCAAUUAUUCCUUAAUCAUGGGUUCUCACUUUCCAUUUGUCUUACUGUUCUUGCUACAGGUUGUGCCAUACAAGAAAAUACGACGAGUAGCUUUCGUAAACUCACUACCAAAAUCCGCUGCUGGAAAGAUCUUGAAGAGGGAGCUGGUUUCUUCAAGGCCCUGAUACGGAUCAAGGAACUGUCUCUGAAAUUAGAGAGGCUAUCAGAGAACAGAAGGAAAUCACCGUUCAGCUGAUCAACUACACAGAGUGGCCUCCAGUUAGAGAAAUAAGAUCCCAAGUCGACUUGAAAGUAAGGCUAUCAAAGGCUACUGAGUUAGUUGACAGGCAUUUACAGUCAAUUCAAGUAGCAGAGAAAAAACCCAAAAGGUUGAGGGGCAGUUGUCAAAAUCUCAGAAAGAAUUCCUUCUGCAUCAGCAGGAUUCAAAAGAAAUGAUCAAGGGGGUGGCAAGAGGAAGGAUUGCAAUGAAAGAGCUUCGGGAGCGCAAGAUACCAUUUACGAUCCAUCGCUAUUUGCCAGAUGGAAGUUACGAGGACUGGGGGGUUGAUGAGCUGAUUGUAGAAGACUCUUGGAAGAGGCAAGUUGGGGGUGACUGAUGAUGGCAAAUCUCUCUACAUCUCAACCAAUCUCCAUCCUAUUCCUGUUAGGUUUCUACUAGGAAGAAAACUUAUAUUAGUCUUGUUCAUGUUGUGUAGAUCUUGACUGGUACCUCUAUAGAACUAGUGUGUAUGGUCUGUACAAACUUUGUUUCUCUUCAUUUACACCUUGUGGCAGGUUAAAUG